AUGUGGAGAACGAGACUUACAAAGGUCAACUGGCUUCCCCAAGAAAAAAGCCAGUGAAUCCAUAUGGAACUUGAAUAUGCUUAUAGGGAGCUGAAGGCAGAGAGUUGAAGUAUAUUCUACUUUUGGACACCGCUCCCCUACAAGUUAUUUUCUUUGAGAAGGUUUUCGUACAGUGGGAGCAGUUUUAUGGAACACACAUGUACUACAGUACAGCUACGUAAACUCCCAUACAGUCUUCAGAGGGCCCUGCUUCUCUGCAGUCCUGCAGCCUACAGCAUUGCUAGCUUUGCUUCUGUCACCAACAGCCACAGUCACUUACAGAACAAUUAUUUUAACCGGAAAACACACCUCAUCCA